rnacentral:rRNA from 1 species
CCUACGGGUGGCAGCAGUGGGGAAUAUUGGGCAAUGGGCGCAAGCCUGACCCAGCAACGCCGCGUGAAGGAAGAAGGCUCUCGGGUUGUAAACUUCUUUUAUCAGGGACGAAGCAAGUGACGGUACCUGAUGAAUAAGCCACGGCUAACUACGUGCCAGCAGUCGCGGUAAUACGUAGGGGGCAAGCGUUAUCCGGAUUUACUGGGUUUAAAGGGCGUGUAGGCGGGAGUGCAAGUCAGAUGUGAAAGUUAUGGGCUCAACCCAUAGACUGCAUUUGAAACUGUACGUCUUGAGUGCUGGAGAGGCAAUCGGAAUUCCGGGUGUAGCGGUGAAAUGCGUAGAUAUAAGGAGGAACACCGGUGGCGAAGGCGGAUUGCUGGACUGUAACUGACGCUGAGGCGCGAAAGCGUGGGGAGCAAACAGGAUUAGAUACCCGAGUAGUC